UACAGAGGGGCCAGCGUUAUUCGGAAUUAUUGGGCGUAAAGGGCGCGUAGGCGGCUCUGUUAGUCAGGCGUGAAAGCCCUGGGCUCAACCUGGGGACUGCGCUUGGAUACGGCGGGGCUUGAGGGCAGGAGAGGCUCGCGGAAUUCCCAGUGUAGAGGUGAAAUUCGUAGAUAUUGGGAAGAACACCGGUGGCGAAGGCGGCGAGCUGGCCUGUACUGACGCUGAG
rnacentral:rRNA from 1 species